rnacentral:tRNA from 1 species
GCCGCUGACCUGGUAAAACGUAUGAAAAUCCGACGGCCUCCGGAGCCGUGUGCGCAGGUUCGAAUCCUGCCGGGGGCCCCA